AGUGAACGCUGGCGGUAGGCCUAACACAUGCAAGUCGAACGGCAGCACAGUAAUAGCUUGCUCUUACGGGUGGCGAGUGGCGGACGGGUGAUGAAUACAUCGGAGUCUACUUUUUCGUGGGGGCUAACGUAGGGAAUCUUACGCUAAUACCGCAUACGACCUACGGGUGAAAGCAUGGGAUCUUCGGACCUUGCGCGAUUGAAUGAGCCGAUGUCGGAUUAGCUAGUUGGCGGGGUAAAGGCCCACCAAGGCGACGAUCCGUAGCUGGUCUGAGAGGAUGAUCAGCCACACUGGAACUGAGACACGGUCCAGACUCCUACGGGAGGCAGCAGUGGGGAAUAUUGGACAAUGGGCGAAAGCCUGAUCCAGCCAUACCGCGUGGGUGAAGAAGGCCUUCGGGUUGUAAAGCACUUUUGUUGGGAAAGAAAAGCAGCAGGUUAAUACCCCGCUGUUCUGACGGUACCAAAAGAAUAAGCACCGGCUAACUUCGUG
rnacentral:rRNA from 1 species